rnacentral:rRNA from 1 species
UACGUAGGGGGCGAGCGUUGUCCGGAAUUACUGGGCGUAAAGGGCGCGUAGGCGGCCCGUUAAGUCCACGGUGAAAGCCCGAGGCUCAACCUCGGAAGGGCCGUGGGGACUGGGGGGCUAGGGGGUCGGAGAGGAGCGUGGAAUCCCUGGUGGAGCGGUGAAAUGCGUAGAGAUCGGAAAGAACACCAACGGCGAAAGCACUCUGCUGGGCCGACACUGACACUGAGAGACGAAAGCUAGGGGAGCGAAUGGG